rnacentral:rRNA from 1 species
CGGCGGACGGGUGAGUAACGCGUGGGUAACCUACCUCAUACAGGGGGAUAACAGUUGGAAACGACUGCUAAUACCGCAUAAGCGCACAGUACCGCAUGGUACCGUGUGAAAAACUCCGGUGGUAUGAGAUGGACCCGCGUCUGAUUAGCUAGUUGGUGGGGUAACGGCCUACCAAGGCGACGAUCAGUAGCCGACCUGAGAGGGUGACCGGCCACAUUGGGACUGAGACACGGCCCAA